AUCCAGUUAGCUCAGUUGCUUUGAGCGUGGUGCUGAUAACACCAAGGCCAUGGGUUCGAUCCCCGCUUGGUA
rnacentral:tRNA from 1 species